rnacentral:snoRNA from 1 species
GCGAUGAUUAUAAAUUUUUAACCCUGAGAUCUUCCGAUGAGGAUCAAAACGCAACAACACUCUAAUUUUUUCAUGAGC